GAUGAACGCUGGCGGCGUGCCUAAUACAUGCAAGUCGAGCGAAGCGGCGGACGGGUGAGUAACACGUGAUAACCUACCUAUAAGACUGGGAUAACUUCGGGAAACCGGAGCUAAUACCGCAUACUAUCAGAUGAGCCUAGGUCGGAUUAGCUAGUUGGUGGGGUAAAGGCCUACCAAGGCGACGAUCCGUAACUGGUCUGAGAGGAUGAUCAGUCACACUGGAACUGAGACACGGUCCAGACUCCUACGGGAGGCAGCAGUGGGGAAUAUUGCACAAUGGGCGCAAGCCUGAUGCAGCCAUGCCGCGUGUAUGAAGAAGGCCUUCGGGUUGUAAAGUACUUUCAGCGGGGAGGCGUUACCCGCAGAAGAAGCACCGGCUAACUCCGUGCCAGCAGCCGCGGUAAUAC
rnacentral:rRNA from 1 species